CGCGUCAUACUUUAUAUCGCACUCACCUAAGUGUUAGAACUGCCUAUAGUCUCUCCUACUUUGACUAAUUGCACAUUUUAUUUCCCCUACUCCUCCCGGGGGAUGCUGCCUGGAGAUGUCCAGCACACCAUGCUCCACGUGAUGUCCCUGCAUCCAGCUCGUCGUCUUGCCUGCAUCAUCUUCCAAACCAUUCUCCACUCAGGAUCCACCUUAAAAGAACUCCCAUCGACAAACAGGAUAUUGCCUCCUGCCAGUCACAUCCAGCCAAGGUCUGAACAAUCAUGUGGCUCCCUGAGGAGGACGGUCACUGGACUCAACACAGAGCAUCUUCCCACAUUUGCCAAGCUGGGGCUGACAUUAACAUCCAUUUUAAAUCAAUCUGGCCAUCAUCAGUGCAUAGUCUUCCCACAACAAUUGGUUCAACACAUAACUGAGGGAAGAAAACCCCCUUCCCACACACAAAAAUCCCCCAGACCCAUGCUCCGGCCUGACAACAUAGCAGUAACAUUAAGGACAAUAAAACAAAGUACAGGACUGCAGCCAGGUCCAGAACAUGCAUCCCCCAGCCAAUUCUGAGUAACAGUGACAUAAAACAGGCCCCAUGUACAGAGCAGGAAAAACUGGCAAAUGGAAGUCAUGUCCAACAAUACAGCACACAUCCAAUUAACAAAAAAUAGAAGCAGGUGCAAAGUACACAAAAGCAUCCAGUCCAAACAGUACAUUACAAGACCCACAGCGAUCACAGAGAAAUAAAUAAAAAAUAAUAAAAGGACAGCGGAAAAAUUAUUCAGGAAGACUCCCAAGAGACUGGAAAUGAUCCAUGGCAGCGUUCGCAUCCUCCGGAGUAGCAGACACGACCUGCUGGCAUUCGAAAGACAGCUUCAGACGUGCAGGGAAAGGAGAAAGACCCCGUCGCCUUCCUGGGUGCUUGGCGCUGAAGUCUUGAAAGAAGAAAAUUCUCCCACCUUCAAAGCCAAGGUCCUGGACUUUGCGCACCACAGCCUGCCGGUCACGGAAGUCGAUGGAGGGCGAGAAGACGUUUCGGACCGGCUGUGGGCACGGUUGAUGGCUGGCUGGAAAUUGGGGAGAAAGGGAAAAAGAGCUGGGCAAGGUCUGCGCUGAUUAGCAGCCAUCGGGAGGAAUAAAAGGACGAGCGGCAAAUUCGUGUGUAAUUGCAAACAGCCAGCAGAUCCGUGCCGCUCGUCACCUCCUCCCGUCAAGACGACGGUGCUGCACGUCACCACUUCUCCAGCUUCGAGUCCUCUUCCUGUUACGCAGCAGACCCUUAGCACCUCC